rnacentral:rRNA from 1 species
GAUGAACGCUGGCGGCGUGCCUAAUACAUGCAAGUAGAACGCUGAAGGAAGGAGCUUGCUCUUUCCGGAUGAGUUGCGAACGGGUGAGUAACGCGUAGGUAACCUGCCUGGUAGCGGGGGAUAACUAUUGGAAACGAUAGCUAAUACCGCAUAACAGUAGAUGUUGCAUGAUAUCUACUUAAAAGGUGCAAUUGCACCACUACCAGAUGGACCUGCGUUGUAUUAGCUAGUUGGUGAGGUAACGGCUCACCAGGGCGACGAUACAUAGCCGACCUGAGAGGGUGGUCGGCCACACUGGGAAGGAGACAGGGCCCAGACGCAUACGGGAGGCAGCAGUAGGGAAUCGUGGGCCAGGGACGGGAGUCUGAGCGAGCGACGCCGAAGGAGGAAAGAAGAAUGUCGGAUCGUAAAGCUCUGUUGUAAGAGAAGAAAGAGUGUGAGAGUGGAAAGUUCACACUGUGACGGUAUCUUACCAGAAAGGGACGGCUAACUACGUG